GCUCAGUUGGUAGAGCAUAAGGCUCUUAACCUUAUGGUCGUGGGUUCAAGCCACAC
rfam:Triticum urartu cultivar G1812 contig60043, whole genome shotgun sequence.